UACGUAGGGCGCAAGCGUUGUCCGGAAUUAUUGGGCGUAAAGAGCUCGUAGGCGGGCUGUUGCGUCCGUUGUGAAAACCCAGGGCUUAACUCUGGGCUGGCAGUGGAUACGGACAGACUAGAGGUAGGUAGGGGAGAAUGGAAUUCCCGGUGUAGCGGUGAAAUGCGCAGAUAUCGGGAGGAACACCGGUGGCGAAGGCGGUUCUCUGGGCCUUACCUGACGCUGAGGAGCGAAAGCGUGGGGAGCGAACAGG
rnacentral:rRNA from 1 species